rnacentral:rRNA from 1 species
GACGAACGCUGGCGGCGUGCUUAACACAUGCAAGUCGAACGGAAAGGCCCUGCUUUUGUGGGGUGCUCGAGUGGCGAACGGGUGAGUAACACGUGAGUAACCUGCCCUUGACUUUGGGAUAACUUCAGGAAACUGGGGCUAAUACCGGAUAGGAGCUCCUGCUGCAUGGUGGGGGUUGGAAAGUUUCGGCGGUUGGGGAUGGACUCGCGGCUUAUCAGCUUGUUGGUGGGGUAGUGGCUUACCAAGGCUUUGACGGGUAGCCCGCCUGAGAGGGUGACCGGCCACAUUGGGACUGAGAUACGGCCCAGACUCCUACGGGAGGCAGCAGUGGGGAAUAUUGCACAAUGGGCGGAAGCCUGAUGCAGCAACGCCGCGUGCGGGAUGACGGCCUUCGGGUUGUAAACCGAUUUCGCCUGUGACGAAGCGUGAGUGACGGUAAUGGGUAAAGAAGCACCGGCUAACUACGUG